rnacentral:rRNA from 1 species
CAGUAGCCGCGGUAAAACGGAGGGUGCAAGCGUUAUCCGGAUUUAUUGGGUUUUAAGGGUCCGUAGGCGGAUCUGUAAGUCAGUGGUGAAAUCUCACAGCUUAACUGUGAAACUGCCAUUGAUACUGCAGGUCUUGAGUAAAUUUGAAGUGGCUGGAAUAAGUAGUGUAGCGGUGAAAUGCAUAGAUAUUACUUAGAACACCAAUUGCGAAGGCAGGUCACUAAGAUUUAACUGACGCUGAUGGACGAAAGCGUGGGGAGCAAACAGGAUUAGAUACCCCUGUAGUCCCUGUCUCUUAUAC